UACGUAGGGGGGCGAGCGUUGUCCGGAUUUAUUGGGCGUAAAGAGCGUGUAGGCGGCUUCGUAAGUUGGAUGUGAAAUCCCACGGCUCAACCGUGGACGUGCAUCCAAAACUACGUCGCUGGAGUCUCGGAGAGGAAGGUGGAAUGCUUGGUGUAGAGGUGAAAUUCGUAGAUAUCAAGCAGAACACCUGCGGCGAAGGCGGCCUUCUGGACGAUGACUGACGCUGAGACGCGAAAGCGUGGGGAGCAAACAGG
rnacentral:rRNA from 1 species